rnacentral:rRNA from 1 species
GAUCUUUAUUUUUAUUUUUUAUAAUUUAAUAAGAUUAUUAAAAAUUAUAAUAAAAUAUAAAAUUUUACUGGGGUGGUAUUAAAAUUUAAUAAACUUUUAUUUUUAUAUACAUAAAUUUAUGAAUAAUUGAUCUAAUAUUAUUGAUUAAAAAAUUAAGUUACCUUAGGGAUAACAGCGUAAUUUUUUUUUAGAGUUCAUAUCGAUAAAAAAGAUUGC